rnacentral:rRNA from 1 species
AGCGAACGCUGGCGGCAGGCCUAACAUAUGCAAGUCGAACGCACCUUCGGGUGAGUGGCGGACGGGUGAGUAACACGUGGGAACGUACCUUUUGGUUCGGAAUAACGCAGGGAAACUUGUGCUAAUACCGAAUGUGCCCUUCGGGGAAAGAUUUAUCGCCAUUAGAGCGGCCCGCGUUAGAUUAGCUAGUUGGUGAGGUA